rnacentral:lncRNA from 1 species
GUUAGGAGCUUCCUGUCCCGGAAUGGUGGAAGAAAGGCAGGCUUUACCUGCCUUUCUGAUUAUGGAGAAGGAGUAUACCCCUAAUUCAUCUUUUGAGCUUCCAGCUUUGAGAGAAGAUAGAAGAUGCCCACCACUUCAGAUUGCUAAAGGAAAACUCUGGGAAGAAGACAAUAUUAGAGAGGUAACACAGAGACCAGAACCAACCACCUGGAGU